GACGAACGCUGGCGGCGUGCCUAAUACAUGCAAGUCGAGCGAAUUUAUGGGAGCUUGCUCCCGUAAAUUAGCGGCGGACGGGUGAGUAACACGUGGGCAAUCUACCUUCCAGUCUGGGAUAACCUUCCGAAAGGAGGGCUAAUACCGGAUGAUGUCCUGUUGGGGCAUCCUGAGGAGGAAAGCGGGGGACUGGUAACGGCCUCGCGCUGUUGGAGCGGCCGAUGUCGGAUUAGCUAGUGGUGGGGUAAAGGCCCACCAAGGCGACGAUCCGUAGCUGGUCUGAGAGGAUGAUCAGCCACACUGGAACUGAGACACGGUCCAGACUCCUACGGGAGGCAGCAGUGGGGAAUUUUGGACAAUGGGGGCAACCCUGAUCCAGCCAUUCCGCGUGAGUGAAGAAGG
rnacentral:rRNA from 1 species